AUUGAACGCUGGCGGCAUGCUUUACACAUGCAAGUCGAACGGAAACACGCCGCUAGGUGGUGACGAGGGGCGCACGGGGGAGUAAUGCACCGGAAUGUGCCCAGCCGUGGGGUUUAAUUACUCGUAAGAGUAGCUAAUACCACCUACGAUCUAUGGCUGCCAGCGGGGGACCGUAGGGCCUCUUCCGAUUGGGGGGGCCGAUGUCCGAGUAGUUAGUUUGUGGGGUAAAGGUUCACCAAGCCAGCGUUCGGCAGCUGGCCGGAGAGGACGAUCAGCGACACUGGAACUGAGACACGGCCCAGACGCCUACGGGAGGCAGCAGUGGGGAAUGUUGGACAAUGGGCGCAAACCUGAUACAGCGAUGCCGCGUGCGGGAAGAAGGCCUUCGGGGUGUAAAGUGCUUUUGUGCGGAACGAAACGCUUCUGGUUAAUACGCAGCGUUAGUGACGGUACCGGAAGAAUAAGCACCGGCUAACUACGUG
rnacentral:rRNA from 1 species